rnacentral:lncRNA from 1 species
GUUAGCACAGUAGCUGGGCCCCUGAACCCUCUACAGGCCUCCCAAGCUGGCACUGAAUAAAAUGUGAGAAAUGAAAGGAACUUUUCCGUGAGUCUGGCAGCGCCGACAGACACUGAGGUGGCAGAGCUGUCUGGUCCCAGUCCACAUGCAGAGGCCUGCAGCUCCUCCUUCCAGCCCGCACCCACCAGAGCUUCUCAGACGGGCCGUGUCCUGAGAAGGAAAGCAAAAAGCCCCGAAGAGCCUGGCUUGGAAUAAAAACAUGCACCAUACAAGAUUUUUAUGAAGAUUAAAUAACUUGGGCUAAAAUAUUCUGGAAGCUGCCAAGGGCUCUACAGAUGAGCUAUACAGAGGCAUUUGCUGAAAACUGGCCUGGAUUGACAAGCGCAAUGCAAACGUGGCUGCGGCAGUUCCAGGCAUCACAUGGUAACAAGAUCACAUCCAGUGAAGAAGGAAUUCUCAUAAGACAGUCAGCAGAUUUUGCAGGUUUUCAACUGAUUGGAUGAGGUUCACCUACAUUAUGGAGGACAGUCUGCUUUACUCAAAGUCCAUCAAUGUAAAUUCCUGCAAGGUGGAUAUCACUCUCACCUUCAGCGCACAAAGAAAGGAGGUAUACAGAAGACACAGAACUCACCAAAGUCACAGGAACUAGGUGAGGAUGAACCAGGCUGCAUCCAAGCAGCCCAGCUUCAGGGUCUGUAUUCUUUGCCACUACCCAGAACUUUUACCAAUAAGCAAAGCUAUUGUUUGCAAUAACAGGAAGCAAAAAUAGCAAAAAGUUCCCUUUAAGGGGGAGUGUUAUAAUAUACUUAACAAUCAGAAUGGCUGAAGCACUGAUCUGUGAGAGUGGCUACUGGUCAUAGCCUGGAGCUGGUCUUUUAGGUCCUCUUUGGUUACUGGAUCCUGGGAGGAUGGAUGAGGAAGUGGUCUCAGGCAAGGGGUGGAGUUAAGUGGCUGUGGAAGGUACUUUGGAGGCUCAGGCAGCAGCUUUUUUUCCCCUUAAACUUUUGUUUUAAGUUCUAGGGUACACGUGCAGGAUGUGCAGUUUACAUAGGUAAACGUGUGCCGUGGUGGUUUGCUGUACAGAACAAACCAUCACUCAGGUAUUAUUAAGCCCAGCACCCAUUAGCUAUUCUUUCUGAUGCUUUCCCUCUCCCAACUUCCACCCGACAGGCCCCAGUGUGUGUUGUUCCCCUCCCUCUGUUCUCAUUGUUCAGCUCCCACUUAUAAGUGAGAACAUGUGGUGUUUGGUUUUCUGUUCCUGCGUCAGUUUGCUGAGGAUAACAGCUUCCAGCUCCAACUAUGUCCCUGCAAAGGACAUGAUCUGAUUCCUUGUUAUGGCUGCAUAGUAUUCCAUGGUGUAUAUGUAACACAUUUUCUUUAUCCAGUCUAUUGUUGAUGCACAUUUGGGUUGAUUCCAUGCCUUUGCUAUUGUAAAUAGUGUUGCAAUGAACAUACAUCUUUAUAUAUGAAUAUAUGUAUCUUUAUAAUAGAAUGAUCUAUAUUCCUUUGGGUAUAUGCGCAGUAAUAAGAUUGCUGGGUCAAAUGGUAUUUCCGCUUCUAGAUCUUUGAGGAAUCGCCACACUGUCUUUCACCAUGGUUGAACUAAUUUACAUUCCCACCAACAGUGUAAAAACGUUCCUUUUUCUCCACAACUUUGCCAACAUCUGCAGUUUCUUGACUUUUUAAUAAUUGCCAUUCUGACUGGCAUGAGAUGGUAUCUCAUUUUGGUUUUGAUUUGCAUUUCUCUGAUGAUCAGUGAUGUUGAGCUUUUUUUUUUUUUUUUUUUUUUUUGAGACGGAGUCUUGCUCUGUCACCCAGGCUGGAGUGCAGUGGCACAAUCUCGGCUCACUGCAACCUCUGAGCCCCCCUCCCUCGGGUUCAAGUGAUUCUCCUGCCUCAGCCUCUUGAGUAGCUGGGAUGACAGGUGCCUGCCACCGUGCCCAGCUAAUUUUUGUAUUUUUAGUAGAGACGGGGUUUCACCAUCUUGGCCAGACUGGUCUUGAACUCCUGACCUCGUGAUCCACCCGCCUCGGCCUUCCAAAGUGCUGGGAUUACAGGCAUGAGCCACUGCGCCUGGCCUGAGCUUUUUUUUAAUGUUUGUUGGCCGCAUUAAUGUUUUAUUCUGAGAAGUGUCUGUUCAUGUCCUUUAGGGCAGCAGCUUUAAACAACUCAUACAGAAAGUUCAAUAUCUUAACUUCCAGUGUGGCAGGAUGGGUGUGCCCUGGGUGAAUACCAGAACUGGUUGUCAUUUUUCAGUGUUUCCUGAUCAACCUGUGGACAAAACAAACUGAUUUUUAAGGACAUUCUCAUUGUUUAAUGUUAUAUUGAUUUUAAAAAUAUAUUUUAUUAUUAAUACCAUGUUUAAAUUGUUUUUUAAAAAGACUUAAGGCAGCUUGUAGUUUAAAAAAACCCUUACAAAUAAAGUCAUUA